GACCUUUAAGUUACUUCCGGUCGGAGCGUGUUCCCUGUUGUCUGUCCAGUCUUCCCUGCAGUCAUGGCUCGUGGUCACCAGAAAAUCCAGUCUCAGAAGAAGAAUGCAGAGAAACAGGCCAAGAUGAAGAAAGCUCAGGGACACGACCAGAAGUCAGCAGCUGGAAAGGCUCUCAUCUACCAGUGUGUGGUGUGCAAAACUCAGAUGCCGGAUCCUAAAACCUACAAACAGCACUUUGAGAGCAAACAUCCCAAGGCUCCCAUGCCGGAAGAGAUCAAGAACGUUGCAGCAUAAAACAGGCCGUCAUGCAGUACCUCUGGGCUUUCACCCCUCCAGCUCACCGACAUGGAACCUUCACAAAUAAAGUCUAUAUUUUUCUGUGCAAUGGGCCAUACUAUUGAAGACACUUUAAGGGGGAGUUUUGGUUACAAACAUUCAUUCACUAGCAAACAACAGGGUGUUAGGGAAGCUAGUGUAAGGUGAAUAUAUUAUCCUCAGCAUGUCUUGACUAACUGGCUUUGAAACAAUACAGUUUCUGUACUGAUAGAAUUGCACAUGUUUUUAUGCAGUCCCUUGCAUUGAGCAUUGAAAUGUUAAAAGCUAAAAAAUAUGAUUGAAUUUUAAGCUUUUUCAGUUUUCCCACUGUUAAGGAGAUUAUCGCUUCACAAAAUGUCAGAAAAAAAGAUUGAUGAUAACUGAAAAUUGUGUCAACUGUACUACUGAUAUCUACAGAGGUUAUAGGGGAAUAUGCAAAUCGUAUGCAAAUCAUAUGCAAAUCAUGCUAGCAAAACAUACUUCAUUGUGUAUCAUUAUACGUAACUGGCAUCAUCCUGUAGGCUAAAUCUGUACUGGUGGAUUUUGACUCUCCUCAUUUCAAGCCAUAGCAUUUAAGCUCUGCACUGAACUAUCUAUAGUUUUUGAUUAUAUGCAACAUGUUUCGAACAUUGUGUUCUGUUUUAGGUCAAUCUAAAUGUCACUGGUUCAAGUAGUCUCAGAGAUAGAAAGAAUGCCAUGUAUUCUACAAGUACUGAAAGAUGUGUGUGAGUUUGUUUUCACAUAUUUUGCCACCAAAGUGCAUUCAGUUACAGGAAAACGUCAAAUUUCAAAGAGAAGUUUUAUUUUUGGGAAAGGACAUCAGACUGUACCAGUUUUAAGUCUCACUGUGCUCUCAAGUUAGCUGAAACAAAAUUGAGUCAAAUUUUUACCUAGUGAAACAAAUGGGAAGUUGGCCAGCUUGGUACCGGGGUAGUCUCCAAGCAGAUAUUAGGUGGAAGAGCCUGAGGUUUUCCAGCUACUUACAGUUAAAGCUCAGAUAUCAGAGAAGACCAACUCACUCACUCACUGUCCAAUAAUCUCAAACUUUUCCGCCAAAACUUCUGCUAGGAGAUAAACAAAUUGUAGGUAAUCUUCAUGUGUUUUACAGUUCUACCAUGCUUUAUUUAUUGUUUAUGUAGAAUACUAGUAAUGUUAGAUAGAAACCAUGUUUAACAUGUUUAGGUUACUCCCAAUGACACCCCUUCUCUGAUUAUGUCUGUGAGCAGCAUGGGGUUUUAGGCAACACUGAUUGUUGAAGAAAUGUAUUAAAGGCGCCAUGGUUAAAAAUAAACCUUUCCUCAAGUUCA